GUGCCAGCCGCCGCGGUAAGACGAAGGGGGCUAGCGUUGUUCGGAAUUACUGGGCGUAAAGCGAGUGUAGGCGGUUGCCCAAGUCAGGUGUGAAAGCCUUGAGCUCAACUCAAGAAAUGCACUUGGUACUGGGUGGCUAGAGGACCGGAGAGGAUAGUGGAAUUCCCAGUGUAGUGGUGAAAUACGUAGAGAUUGGGAAGAACACCAGUGGCGAAGGCGGCUAUCUGGACGGUUACUGACGCUAAGACUCGAAAGCGUGGGGAGCAAACAGGAUUAGAUACCCCUGUAGUCC
rnacentral:rRNA from 1 species